CAAAACCCUCACACUACAGCGAACACACAGCCUCCAUUUCCCCUCGCUGGGACCUCCCAAAACGGUGUCGCACAACCGAUACCAGAAACCCUAGAAAAUCACAGAGAGAGAGAGAGAGAGAGACACACAAACACACACACACACACACACACUAGAGAAUUGUAGCGAGGCAGGCAGAAAAGGUCAGACGACAUGUCGCAGUCACUGGAGCUGUUGCUGAUACAAUUCCUGAUGCCGGACAACGACGCUCGGCGGCAAGCAGAGGACCAGAUAAAGCGGCUGGCUAAAGACCCUCAGGUAGUUCCUGCGCUGGUACAGCACCUGCGCACCGCCAAAACUCCGAAUGUGAGACAAUUGGCGGCUGUGCUUCUGAGGAAGAAGAUCACAGGACACUGGGCCAAGCUCUCUCCUCAGAUUAAGCACCUCGUUAAGCAGUCCCUCAUUGAGAGCAUCACCAUGGAGCACAGCCCUCCAGUGAGGCGUGCGAGUGCCAACGUGGUUAGCAUUGUUGCAAAAUAUGCUGUCCCGGCUGGAGAAUGGCCGGAUUUGCUGCCCUUUCUGUUUCAAUGCAGUCAGAGUGCACAAGAGGAACAUAGAGAGGUGGCAUUGAUCCUUUUCAGCUCUUUGACUGAAACAAUAGGGAAUACAUUUCGACCACAUUUCGCAGAUUUGCAAGCUCUUCUUCUGAAAUGCUUGCAGGAUGAGACGAGCACCCGUGUCAGAGUUGCUGCACUCAAGGCAGUGGGGUCUUUUCUGGAAUUCACUCAUGAUGGGGAUGAAGUGGUCAAGUUUCGAGAAUUCAUUCCUAGCAUCUUAAAUGUAUCAAGGCAGUGCCUUGCAGCUGGCGAGGAAGAUGUCGCUGUUAUUGCUUUUGAAAUUUUUGAUGAGUUGAUUGAAUCUCCUGCACCUCUUCUUGGGGAAUCUGUUAAAUCCAUUGUGCAAUUCUCUCUUGACGUUUGCUCAAGUCAAAAUUUAGAAUCUAAUACACGUCACCAGGCAAUUCAGAUAGUUUCGUGGCUAGCGAAGUAUAAAUCCGGUUCCCUCAAAAAGCAUAAGUUGGUCAUCCCUAUUCUGCAAGUUAUGUGCCCAUUGCUUGCAGAAUCGAAUAAUGAAGAUAAAGAUGAUGAUCUUGCUCCAGAUCGAGCUGCUGCAGAAGUUAUUGACACUAUGGCUUUGAACAUACCAAAGCAUGUUUUCCACCCUGUUUUAGAAUUUUCUUCUCUAAGCAGUCAGAAUGCAAAUCCAAAAUAUCGGGAAGCUUCUGUUACUGCUUUAGGUGUCAUUUCAGAGGGUUGUUUGGAAUUGAUAAAAGAUAAGUUGGAUCCAGUUCUUCAUAUUGUUUUAGGCGCUUUGAGAGAUCCUGAGGAAAUGGUCAGGGGGGCCGCGUCAUUUGCAUUGGGUCAGUUUGCUGAGCAUUUGCAGCCUGAAAUUGUCUCUCACUAUCAAAGUGUACUUCCCUGCAUUUUGAAUGCCCUUGAGGACACAUCUGACGAAGUGAAGGAAAAGUCAUAUUAUGCUUUGGCAGCAUUUUGCGAGAACAUGGGUGAGGAAAUUCUUCCUUUCCUUGAUCCGUUGAUGGGAAAACUACUGGGGGCCCUUCAGAAUAGCCCUCGUAAUUUGCAGGAGACAUGCAUGUCUGCGAUUGGUUCAGUUGCAUCUGCUGCUGAACAGGCAUUCGUUCCAUAUGCUGAAAGGGUUUUGGAGUUGAUGAAAAAUUUCUUGGUUCUUACUAAUGAUGUGGAUCUUCGUUCACGAGCAAGAGCUACUGAAUUAGUUGGAAUAGUUGCAAUGUCUGUGGGGAGAACUGGGAUGGAACCGAUUUUACCCCCAUACAUAGAAGCUGCAAUUUCUGGUUUUGGAUUGGAGUACAGUGAGCUUCGGGAGUAUACUCAUGGAUUCUUUAGCAAUGUGGCAGAAAUUUUGGAUGAUGGCUUUAUACAGUAUCUUCCUCAUGUUGUACCCCUCGCAUUUUCUUCCUGCAAUCUUGAUGAUGGAUCUGCAGUGGACAUCGAUGAGUCUGAUGACGAAAAUAUAAAUGGUGUUGGUGGAGUUUCAUCUGAUGAUGAAGCUCAUGAUGAGCCCAGAGUCCGAAAUAUCAGCAUAAGAACAGGUGUUUUAGAUGAGAAGGCAGCUGCAACUCAAGCUCUUGGCUUAUUUGCACUACAUACGAAGACCUCAUAUGGACCCUAUUUGGAGGAAUCAUUUAAGAUUCUAGUACGGCACUCAGGGUAUUUUCAUGAAGAUGUUCGGCUUCAGGCAAUCAUCUCUCUGAAACAUAUUUUAGUAGCAGCGCAGGCAGUUUACCAGAAUCAUAGUGAAGGACAAGCAAGGGCUAAGGAAGUUCUAGAUACUGUGAUGAAUAUAUUUAUCAAGACUAUGACUGAAGAUGAUGACAAGGAAGUUGUUGCUCAAGCUUGUAUGAGCCUUGCUGACAUCAUCAAGGAUUAUGGAUAUACGGCUGUUGAGCCUUAUGUGCCUCGGCUUGUUGAUGCUACUCUGGUACUGCUUCGGGAGGAAUCAGCUUGUCAACUGACAGCAUCUGAUGAGGAAAUUGAUGAUGAUGAUGUUGUACAUGAUGAAGAACUGAUGGACGCAGUUUCUGACCUUCUUCCUGCUUUUGCAAAGUCAAUGGGUCCUCAUUUUGCACCUAUAUUUGCUACGCUAUUUGAACCUUUAAUGAAAUUCGCGAGAGCUUCGCGCCCACUGCAAGAUCGGACAAUGGUUGUUGCCUGCCUUGCUGAAGUUGCUCAGGACAUGGGUGCUCCAAUUGCUGGAUAUAUCGAUAGGGUGAUGCCCUUAGUACUCAAAGAAUUAGCAUCAUCAGAUGCAACCAAUAGGAGGAAUGCUGCAUUUUGUGUUGGAGAGUUGUGCAAAAAUGGGGGUGAGGGGACAUUGAAAUACUAUGGUGAUAUACUGCGUGGACUUUACCCGCUAUUUGGAGAAUCUGAGCCAGAUGAUGCUGUUAGGGAUAAUGCAGCUGGUGCAGUGGCAAGAAUGAUAAUGGUGCACCCUGAAUCCAUCCCAUUAAAUCAGGUACUUCCUGUUUUCUUGAAGGUUCUUCCAUUAAAAGAAGAUCAUGAAGAGUCUAUGGCAGUAUAUAGUUGCGUCUCAACUCUUGUUUUAUCAUCUAAUGGCCAGAUUCUUUCUCUAGUCCCUGAUUUGGUUAAUGUAUUUGCUCAAGUUGUGGCAUCACCACUUGAAACUCCUGAAGUAAAAGCACAAAUAGGCAGAGCUUUUUCUCAUCUGGUUUCACUGUAUGGCCAUCAAAUGCAGCCCCUUUUGAGCAACCUCUCCCCUGCACAUGCAAAUGCCCUAGCUGCAUUUGCUCCAAAAAGCUGAUUCAGAGUGAGCCAGUGACUUGACUUCUCGUUGCAUUUGCUACAAGAAGCGUUCUGAUUGAGCCCAUGAUUGUGGUUCUUCUCCAUUGGUUUUUUGCUUGAUUUUGUUGCUGAGAUUUUUUCCAAUCCAAAGGCUGGUAUGUUAUUCCCAUGUUUUAGCUGGGAUGGCUGAAUCCUGGGAGGAGGGCAUCAUCCUGUAAGGUGAUCCACCUUCCAGUACUACCUCCAUUUUUCAAGGCUGGAGAUACAUGCUUUUUUCUUCCUCUAUUCAUUUGUUUCUUUUGUUUCCAAUAGUAUUCCUUUUCCCCCCUCAAUUUCUGGGUAUAUUCAGCGGUCAUGUGGAUUUUUGUUUUUUUGUUUUUGUUUGUAAUAUUUGUUUUAAGAGAUUGAGGUUGUGCCCUUGUGGGUUUUAUUUUAGGUUUGAAAAUUUCACCUUACCCUUCAUAGAAUUAGUGAAAGAUGACGUGUACCCGCAUUGUGUUGUGUAUAACAGCUUGUCUGUAAGUUUUUGCUUGCAGAAUUAAAUUGCCAAUGUUAAUUCUAA